UUCUUGUCUGAUCCGGUCUAGAAGCACCAAGAAUGAAGCCAACCAGCCUCUUCUCACUGAUCACUAUCAACGCUAUGCUGAGGAGUACGAGGAACUCCCGAAUCCUAACCACUCCAUGGUCUGAUAUCCACCUGCCCGUCCCGGCAUAUAUGAGCCUAUUCUAGGGAGACAUGUCAUCUUUCAUGAAGGUUCAGUGUCCUAGUUCCCUUCUCCCCAGGAAAAACGACACAGGAGCAGGUCAGGGUUGCUCUGGGUAAAAGCCUGUGAGCCUAAGAGCUAAUCCUGUACAUGGCUCCUUUACCUGCACACUGGGGAUUUGACCUCUAUCUCCACUCUCAUUAAUAUGGGUGGCCUAUUGCUCUUAUUAAAAGAAAAGGGGGAGAUGUUGGGAGCCG
rnacentral:lncRNA from 1 species